rnacentral:miRNA from 1 species
AGGGAGGUGGGCAUACUGUCAA